rnacentral:ncRNA from 1 species
AAUUCUACGUGAAGAUACGGAGUACCAACGGCUAGACGGUAAGACCCUGUGCACCUUAACUAUAGCUUCGCAGUGACAACCUUAAUAGAAUGUGUAGGAUAGGUGGGAGGUGGUGACACACAACGACCGAUCCUAAAAGACCGCUCUUUCGUCUAAGGAUGCCUAACCUCCGCACCGAUUAUUCGGGGGGAGGCGGGACAUUGCGAGUUGGGUUUGUCAGGGGCGGAUGCCUCCUAAAGAGUAUCGGAGGUGUGCGAAGGUAGGCUCAAGCUAAGAUUGUGCUCGUGAGCAUAAUGUCAUAAGUCUUCCUGACUGUGAGACCGACUAGUCGAACAGAGAUAAAAGUCGGCCAUAGUGAUCCGGGAGUCCCGUUGAAAGGCUAUCCCUCAACGGAUCAAAGUUAAACCGGGGAUAAAAGGCUGAUGACUCCCAAAAGCUCUUAGCAACGGAAUCAUUUGGUACCUCGAUGUCGACUCAUCACAUCCAGGUGUUGAAGAAGGUCCCAAGGGUUUGAUUGUUGCUGAUUCAAGUGGUGCAUGAGUUGGGUUUAUAAUGGCGUGAGACAGUUUGGUUCCUAUCUACCGUUUGUGUUAAAGGGAAAACUGCGAGGAGCCAACCCUAGUAAGAGAGGACUGGUUUGGGAUAACGUAUGGUGUACCGGCUGUUAUGCCAAUAGCAGCGCCGGGCAGCAGUUGAUAUGGAAGAACUGCUGCGCCACAGGAAAUCCUUCUCUAUACAAGUUCUCGAACGAGGUUUUUUAACAGAACUUCGAUAGGCGAGAGGUGUAAGCAUUGUGAGAUGUGAAGAGAUCUCGUCCUAAACGAAACG